rnacentral:rRNA from 1 species
GACGAACGCUGGCGGCGUGCCUAAUACAUGCAAGUCGACCUUAGUGGCGAACGGGUGAGUAACACGUGGGUAACCUGCCCAUCAGAAGGGGAUAACACUUGGAAACAGGUGCUACUACCGUAUAUUGAUGGAUGGACCCGCGGUGCAUUAGCUAGUUGGUGAGGUAACGGAUCACCAAGGCCACGAUGCAUAGUGCAACUGCAAGGGUGAUGGGUCAAAUUGGCACUGAGACACGGCCCAAACUCCUACGGGAGGCAGCAGUAGAGAAUCUUCGGCAAUGGACGAAAGUCUGACCGCGCAACGCAGCGUGAGUGAAGAAGGUGUUCGGAUCGUAAAGCUCUGUUGUUAGAGAAGCAGUAACUAACCGGAAAGCCACGGCUAACUACGAGCCAGCAGACGCGGUAAUAA